rnacentral:pre_miRNA from 9 species
UCUCGCUAGCUUAAAAGUUAAGUCAAAUUGGUAUGGAGUUGGAACGUUUGCCUACGUUUGCCGCCAGGGACACUGUUCCAAUUGCAUACAAAUUUGAGUUAACUUUUACGCUAUCGA